GAUGCAGCGAUGCCGCGUGAGUGAGAAGGCCUUUGGGUUGUAAAGCUCUUUCGUCGGGGAAGAAAAUGACUGUACCCGAAUAAGAAGGUCCGGCUAACUUCGUGCCAGCAGCCGCG
rnacentral:rRNA from 1 species